GACCGACAGAUGUUAGGAAGAAGACAGAGAGGGUUAGGGAAGAUGAUUGUUUUUUCAUUUUGUUUUAAUGCAAAUUGAGGUAUAUUUUUUAAGUAUAAUUUUUUCCCCAAAGACAUAACACGUGUCACACAUUGAUUGGAGUGUGUAAUGCAAUCUCUAAGAAGAAGUGGUUAAUCCCAAAAGUAGUGUGUUAUAGGCACACUUUGGAAAGGUUGAGUGUGUAUGGUAAUUUUCCUCCGCAAAAAUGUGUAAGAGGGAUUUGGUCCAUAGUUCGAGUGGUAACUUAUGUAUUUUGCCAUCCAAAUUCUAUAACAUUGCAUGGUAAGAAUUAAACAAUGGAAAAUUAUCAAAUUUUGCUUCAAAGGAAACAGUUCCGAAAACUUCAAAUUACCUGACUUCCAUAAUACAUAAAUUACAUCCCAAUUUGAACUAAAUUAUACAAUACUGUACUUAAUGAAGCAUGAAUCAAAGAGGAAUUAUAAAUUUACAAGGCCCUAAUAAAUUAAAACUAACUGAUGAUGUGAAUAACACUGCCAUCUAUUCAAUUUCCAAAUCAAGAUGCCAACCUUUGGAUUUGAACUUGUACCAAAUGGACUUCAAUUGGUUCCAAUAGUUAUUUAUUAACCUGGACACCAUACCUUUAGCAUCUAAUCAAUGACAACAAAAAGCUAGUCUAAGAUUUGCGAAGAAAAGAGCUAAAUAUGACAUAGAGAUCUCUUAUAAUUAAAGAGAGUGAUUCAGUGACAAAAAUUAGAUUCUGAAAUAAAAAAAAAACAUAGCUGAACCAUCAGCAUCUAGACCCUUUUUCUUUUAACAACCUUUAAAAUCUAACCUUGAUUUAUGGCUUGCAACAGUCAGAUCCGCAAGACUUUAACCAAGUUAUUAGCCAACAAGCACUUUCUAUCCUUCAAAACCAAAAAAAAAUUGCCAUGCUCAAAACAGCUUGCUCAUGACCAAGAUUCUACUAUGGCUUGAAACCAAAGAAAAUACCAACAACAAACCAAACAAACAUAUUUCUGAAAGAAACAAGAAGAAGAUCACUACAUGAUGGCAUGUUUUAAAACAACAUACAUAACACUAAUAAACUGUUCCCAUUUGUUUUAUUACUUUAACCAUUACUCAAACACAAAACAAAGCAGGUUUGGAGCUUUGAAUCAGCCAAAAAUCCAAAGAAAAUCACCACAAAAAAAAACAGAAUCUGACUUCAUUCAUACUUAAAGUUCAAGGAAAUCAGCUUCUAUUCAAAAUACAACUUAAAAUCAAGCAUACAAAGUUCAGAAAAAUACCUAUAAAAGAAAAUGGGACAAACAACUCAAAGAAAGAAGAAGUCUGCAGCAGCUCAGCUCAAAUCGAACAGCAGUGAAUUCAAGAAACAAAGUUUUGUUUCAGCUUUAGGAAACCCCAGCAAAUGACUCCAAAAACGGCCAGAAGUAGAAAAAUUUUCUUCAGAAUUUUUUGGAAAAAAGAACUGAUUUAAGCCGUUUGUAUUUUUUCACUCCUUUUUUCUGUGCCCUAAUGAUUGGAAAGAGGGUCUUUUAUAGGGAAAAUUAGGGCAGCAAAUUAGAUUUUCUUAAUUCUAUACCACCUCUCU
rnacentral:lncRNA from 1 species